CACGUUAGCUUCCAGAAUGAACAACCGGUAGGUAGUUUCAAAGACCACUUCUAUGAUUCAACUUUACACGGGAUCAAUAUAAAUCAAAUUACAGGAAGGCUGGUUCCAGUCGAGCGCGAAUUUACAUUCGCAGCGUCUACCAUUUCACCACAGGGAUAACCUAAUUCUGAGCACGGCUAUACAGCCGUAUACUUUUUCCACGGAUGGUAACAGGAAGAGCGCGGUCCUACGACCUGCACCUCUUUGUACUGUAUAGUCAGGAAGGGUUUCAGAGCGCGGUACUACAACCGGCACGUCUGAGGUAAAUUAUUCAACAGGGCGGGUGUCAGAGCGCGAUUUACAAUCGCUAACGUCUGACCAGGAAACAGGAAAGAAUUUCUUAGGAUCAGGAAAACAAUUCUAAGACGAGUCCCCUUUCUGGUCUGGUUUCUGUUUAUAUAGUCUGUGGAAGGAAGUGGGAAUGUAAUGGUGAUGGUAAUCGUACUGGUGGGAAUGUCCACAAACAUGACGUCUUUGAAACUACCGCCCUCUCCUGAUAGAAAUCUAGAUUAAUUUCCAAUUCCUACAGGAAUCAAAUUACAAAUUAAUCUUAUAACAUUUCACAUCA